rnacentral:rRNA from 1 species
GACGAACGCUGGCGGCGUGCUUAACACGUGCAAGUCGAACGAUGAAGAAGAGAAACGCGAACUUCGGUUCAAAUUUCACUUCGGAUUAGUGGCAGACGGGUGAGUAACGCGUGAGCAACCUACCUCUUACAAAGGGAUAGCCUCGGGAAACCGUGAUUAAUACCAUAUGACACAUUCAUAAGGCAUCUUAAGAAUGUUAAAGCUACGGCUGUACGGGAUGGGCUCGCGUACCAUUAGCUAGUUGGUGAGGUAACGGCCCACCAAGGCGACGAUGGGUAACCGGCCUGAGAGGGUGAACCCUCACAUUGGAGCUGAGACGCGGUCCAGACUCCUACGGGAGGCAGCAGUGGGGGAUAUUGCACAGUGGAGGGAACUCUGAUGCAGCUACGCCGCGUGAGCGAUGAAGGAAUUCGUUUCGUAAAGCUCUGUUCUAUGUGAAGAAAAGGACUGUACCAUAGGAGAAAGCCCCGGCUAACUACGUG